GACGAACGCUGGCGGCGUGCCUAAUACAUGCGAGCCGAACGAAGAUCUAGCUUGCUAGAUCUUAGUGGCGAACGGGUGAGUAAUACAUAAAUAAUCUGCCCAUAUGACUGGGAUAACUAUUGGAAACGAUAGCUAAUACCGGAUAGGUUGAUUGGAGGCAUCUCUGAUUAAUUAAAGUAGGAUUUCUACACAAAUGGAUGAGUUUAUGGCGCAUUAGUUAGUUGGUGGGGUAACGGCCUACCAAGACGAUGAUGCGUAGCCGACCUGAGAGGGUGACCGGCCACACUGGGACUGAGACACGGCCCAGACUCCUACGGGAGGCAGCAGUAGGGAAUUUUCGGCAAUGGGCGCAAGCCUGACCGAGCAACGCCGCGUGAGUGAUUAAGGCCUUCGGGUUGUAAAGCUCUGUUGUAAGGGAAGAACAUUCAGGAUAGGAAAUGAUCUUGAACUGACGGUACCUUACCAGAAAGCCACGGCUAACUACGUGCCAGCCGCCGCCGUAACAC
rnacentral:rRNA from 1 species